rnacentral:misc_RNA from 1 species
GAGAGAAAGUUAUUCUUAAAAAUUUCCAAUUGUUCUAACUUAAAUUUUAUGGUGUCGUGAUAAACAAAUUUGAAUAGUUAAAAUAAAUAUUCAAAAUUAUAAAAGAUUUUUUAAACAAUUAAAGGAAUACUACUUAUUGUUUUAAAUCGUCUGACUUUUGCAUAUUCUUAUGGGUGGGUGUGUUUUUUUUUUAGUGACUGGUAGAUUGAGUUUGUGAAAAUUUUAUUGAUAUUUAACAUCAUGUGAAUUUAUUUUUAUUUGUUUAAUAUGCAUAUCAAGUCUUCAAGAAAGCAAGGAUUAUUGAGUAAUCUUUAUAUUCUAUGUGUUACACGGAUUAUUAAAAAUGUCGAAAGAUCAGUAAAUAUUCUUUUAAAAUUAUGUUUAACAUAUCGAAGAGAAAAAACAAGUUUUACAUGGUAUUUAUAUAGAGUGCACAUUUGUUAAUUAAAACUUUUAAUUAAUAAAAUAAUAUUUAUGAGUUUCUACAUACGUUAAAAAGUUUCUUUUCUUAAUUAUUAUGCAAUAAAAUAAUUCAAAAUGAAGAAAAAGUACAUUUCCUUGCUAUUUAUGAUCAUACAAUUUUGUAAAGCUGAUGUUGAUGAGUGCACCUAUCAAUAUAAAUAUUCGUGUGAUAAAAAUGAAAAUUUGCGACUGUUAAAUGACACAAAUCCACUCAAUUGCAGCCUUGAUAACAUCUUAGAAAAUGCAGAGUAUACCUUGAUAUUAUCUAAGGAUGGAUUAACUCCAACCGGGAUUUUGAGAAUUAAUUCAUUUCUUCCAACUGUCAAUUGCCAAUACAAAGUAGCUCUUUUAGUUAAUGAAUCAGUCAAGACGGAUGAAGAGUGUAAACAACAUAAUUUUGAUAAUCACAAUGAGAAUGAAAUUCAUUCAUUAGACCAAACUAUUUGUAUAUCCGCAUUUGAUAACUCUACAAUCAUUGAGCAUGAGUCAAUAGAUUGCAAAGAAAACAAUAUUUAUAUAUACUUCAAGCAUAUUUUCACUGGUUGUUAUGCUCUUCGUUAUAAAAUUGAUCAUAAUUAUGUGAUACGUUCAAGACAAUAUAUUUCUACGACUUAUCAAAGAAGGGAAGUAGAAGAACCAACUUUCCGCUGCAAUUAUGAUAACAGGCCAAUAAAUAAUCAGAGUAGGAAUCUGGUGACGUUUACCUUCGGCAUUUCAGUACUUCCUGGUUCUACAAGUAUGAGUUUAGAAUUAACUCCAUUAUCUUCUGAAGAUGAAAAUAAAGAAGAUGCGUGUGUAGAAUAUAGUAAGGCUCCUCAAUAUGCUUGGGAAAUUAGUCUGAGUGGCUCGAAUACUCAGUUAGAACCAUUAAAAAGUUGUAAAGUUACGAUGGUAAACAUUGUUAAUGAAACGAGUACAGAGGAUGUCGAGUGCAGUUUUUCGCUUCCAGUAUCAUAUGAUGAAAGUUAUUGUUUUCUUAUUACUCUCCAUGAUAGCCGGUGUUUAAGACAUACCACUUGGAAUCCACCACCAAAGAAUAAAUCUACUGUUCCAUGCACUUGGAUACCAAAAUGUACAAAAGUCAAUAUAACCUCAGGAAUUGAAUAUCCUGGAGAUGUCGAAGGUAACUCACCAGUUGUAUCUGCUGAUCUCUCUUCACUCCUCCCCAUAGCUGCUGGUAUUAUUAUUGUGACUGUGGUAAUUGGAAUGUCUAUGGUAUAUCUCUAUCGUUCACGCGUAAGAAUACUUCGAGAGGAUUUUGCAUUAAACGCUACGUUAAGAAAUUUAAAAGAUGGAGAUCAUAUCGAACUAGAUGCUAUUGAUACUGAUGAAGAACAUACUAGAGCUAUCGUGCUUCUUUAUGCUAGAGGCUCCAAACCUUUUAUGAGUUUCAUGUUACAUUUUAGAGAAAUUUUAGAAUGUUACUGUGGAUGUCAUGUAUUUGAUUGGUACGCAGCAUGUGAAUGGGAUGCAGUAGCCAGAGUUGGAGCUUGUGAAUGGGCUGAUUCUUUAAUUAAAAGCAAUCACCGUAUAGUAUGGAUCGAUACUCCAACUGCAAGAUCUCUAAUUUAGCAUUUCCUUCUGUGUUGGAAUUUGCUAAACGGAGUAUCAUCAAUAUUAAAUCACAGUAUGACAAACAUUUCAUUGUUAGAAUAGAAGGAUUUAAUCAUGAUAAUUCAAGUGAAGAUAUAUUUGCAAAUCUUUC